rnacentral:lncRNA from 1 species
GCUCUGUUUUCCGGACGGGGAAAGGGAGGAUUUUACCUUUUUGGUCGCUUUUUCAAUUUUUUUGGGUUCCUCGGGGAUUGGAAGGAAAAGCUCGGGUUACCCCAGAAGAGUGAGGAAAAAGAACAUCUGAAGAAACUCUUGGAGCUUGUUACCAGAGCCCGUGUUCCUCUGAUCGUUAAAUCAUGCACUGCUCAGCUGUGAAACAUCGUGGCAUGUGUUUUUGCUAACAGAAAACGCUGUCAAAUAUUGCUCUGCCUUUCUUCUACAAGAGUUUCUACCAGUGCUAUCAGAAGGUCAAGAAAAGUGCACUGCCUGUGCUGCCCUAGGACUGUUGAUGUCCUCAGCUGUUGUAGGAGAAGCACCAGACCUGGAACCCAGUUUGUUACUGGGAGAAUAAAAUUCAGUCUGAAAAUAUAGUGCUAUUGAUUACUGUUAACCUAUCCAGAUUUAAGGCUUCUCUUUCCCCUGGUUUGAAAUAUCAAAGGAAGAUCACUUUGGAUGUAAGUUACACGACACAAGUGUCUGUCUUGCUGCUAGCACUAACUUGUCAUUUUUUUUUUUUUGAGCACACUGUCAAAUGUUAUGGAAGGUGAUCAAAAGUCCUAAGAAUUUGUAUCAGCUUGAUGGAUGCCUUGUUAUUCUGGGCAUAAAAGCAUCCUUGCUAAAAAUGACUGUUUAGGUGAUUUAUUAGAAUUCUUUAUCCAGUGCUUUAGGGUGGCUGUGGGGUAAACUUGGAGAUAUAAAGCCAAGGAAAUAACGUGUUUUAUUGCAAAGUUAAAAAUGCUGUGCCUAUAAGUAGUUAAGCUUCAAAUAACAUUAAUUUCAUAGUUCUGAUCCGUCACCAGUUAGUUUGGGUGGGGACUUGAGAUUUUGUGAUCUGUGGUCUUGGAUUUGUCUAUUGCUCUUCUGGCUUGAAAACAGUAUUUAUAGCCCCUCAACGGCAAUAUAGCAAGGGAAAUAGCUGGUUUCAAUUGGCUUCUGCUGUUUGAGGAUUUCAGCUAUUCAGUGUGCUACGCAUAAUGCUUUUUCCCUUGAGGAAAUUGUGUUUCAGAGUGCUCUUCAAUAGUUUGUAUCCAUCAGCGUGGUUUCAAGUGUAGUACUUCUGUCAAAACCAAACUUUACUGAACCCAAACAGUGAAAACUGGCAGCUGUUUUACCCGAGUAACUCCAGACAGGUUUUCUUACAAGUCUGCAGUGAUUUAAAGAAACAUUUCUCUGGGAUGCUGUGAGAUGCUGGAGACUGAGCUUCAAAUCUAGUCUCUUUUAAUGUAAAUUACUUGAAGUCUGGUAAAAAAAAAAAAAAAAAAAAUGCUUCAUUGUGUAAUACGUGUAGCAUCUUUCUAGGCAGUUGUAUUUUGUGGGAUUCUUUCAAGAGGAACCUGUUAUUUAAUUUGGUGCAAUGUGGGGUUGGUCUCAUUGAGUCUUAGAAAAGCGUGUCUGUGAGUUUGUUUUGGGUGUUGUAAUCCAG